rnacentral:rRNA from 1 species
CGUCUAUAUACGUAUAGCAUAUCAAUAAGCGGAGGAAAAGAAACUAACAAGGAUUCCCUUAGUAACGGCGAGUGAAGCGGGAAGAGCUCAAAUUUGAAAUCUUCAAUGGUUCUACCUUGACGAAUUGUAGUUUAAAGAAGUGUUUUCUGUUAGAGGAGUAGCAAAAGUUCCUUGGAAUGGGACAUCAUAGAGGGUGAGAAUCCCGUAUUUGGUUAUAUUCUUUCUAGCUUUGUGAUACACUUUCAAAGAGUCGGAUUGUUUGGGAAUGCAGUCCAAAAUGGGUGGUAAAUUUCAUCUAAAGCUAAAUAUUGGCGAGAGACCGAUAGCGAACAAGUACCGUGAGGGAAAGAUGAAAAGAACUUUGAAAAGGAGAGUUAAACAGUACGUGAAAUUGUCAAAAGGGAAGCGUUUGACACCAGUGUUGUUUUUCCGAAAAUCAAUUAAGAGUAGGCUUGAUUUUGUGUUGUAUUGACCUUAUCAGCUUUCUUCACUCUUUUUCGAGUCUUUCUUGAUGCACUUUUCGGUUAACAAGUCAACAUCAAUUUCUUUUGUUGUAAAGGGUAUUUGGAAGGUGGCUUUCUUUUCGGAGAAAGUGUUUAUAGCCUUAUACCUCUACAAUCGGAGAGAUUGAGGUCUGCAGCGUAGAUCCUUCGGGGCUAGAUACACUUGUGCUAAGUUAUAGCUUUUCAUAGACAACUUGUUGACUAUGUUUAGUCAUGUAGCUUACCCGCUUGUGCUAUUUUACCUACGCUUAGGAUGUUGAGUCAUCACACAUCUCU